UUUGCUUUCUCUUGCCAUUUCCCAUUUCAAGGCCUCGUUCUUUGCUUGUUUCUUCUUCACCAUAGCCCUCCUUGGAGAAUACCUGAAAAUCAAUUUAGAAACAGAAAUGGGAUCUCCAGUUUUGGCAAUCCAGAACUUACUCAAGUGGAAGAAGUAUAAAAGGCUUGAUUUUGGUACUGUAUUUGUAAAGGGUAGACGUUUGGAGAAACACGCAGUAUCAUGGAGGGAGCACUGCACCGAAAGAAUUGGAGCUUCUAUUUCUUGUUCUCACAGUUUCAACAAGGAUACAAACCUACCAUCUAUUCAAGAACUUACUAAUGCUCGAGUUAUUUAUAGCGUAGCUCCUGCUUUGGGUCAUAACCAGGAGUCGCAUCCAGAAUCCCAUCGUAGAGUUCCUGCAAUUGUGAGUGCCCUUGAAAAGAUGGAGCUCACUUCAAAGUUUCGUGGUCCAGAGAUUACUGAACUUAAAAAUUUCAUGCCUGCUUCUGUGGAUGACAUUGCAAGUGUCCAUGCUAAACCUUACAUUGCUCGCCUUGAGCAGGCUAUGGAUCAAGCUUCAGAACAGGGCAUUAUUUUCAUUGAAGGCACAGGACCAACUUAUGCUACUGGCGAUACAUUCCAGGAGUCACUUGUGGCAGCUGGAGCAGGACUAGCCUUGGUUGAUUCAGUGGUGAUGUCUCCGUCUGGCACGUUGCAGCAUCAAACAACAGCCAGAAUCCGCCUACAGGAUUUGCUUUGAUAAGGCCUCCAGGUCAUCAUGCUAUUCCAAAAGGGCCUAUGGGCUUUUGUGUUUUUGGUAAUGUGGCCAUUGCAGCUCGCCAUGCUCAACGUGUGCAUGGAUUACAAAGAGUCUUUAUUGUUGAUUUUGAUGUUCACCAUGGGAAUGGGACAAAUGAUGCCUUUUAUGAUGAUCCAGAUAUAUUCUUCUUGUCAACUCACCAAGUAGGUUUUGAUUUUUCAGCUCAACCUAUUUUGGUCAUGUUAUUGACAUGCCUGAUUUGUUUUUGGCCAAAUGAUUUUAGUUUUUUUUUUAUUAAAAAAUUGAAAUCCAAUAAUCAAAUUUGAUGUUCUUUUUGUUCAAAUUAUAUUUAAUACAGAUAUGAACUUCUAAGAAGAGGAAGAGCACAAUUGUUGAAACUUGAAACAAAAUUAUUACAAGUGUAUUUGAAAUUACAACUUUUUGUUUAGAUAUUAUAAAUUCACUUUUUUAUCCAUAUCCAUACACCUAAUCUCCAUUCAUGAAUCUACACGAUGAACUUUAUUCAAGUAAUGUGGAUAACAUCCAAGUCACUUGAUUUUACAUUCCCCUAUUCAGAUGCAACCUCAGUAUCUCUUCCUUGUCUUACCAAUUAGUCUGGACUGAAGCUGACUCACAAAUUUUGAUAGGAUGUCUUUGUAAGUAGAAACUCUAAUUUAGGGGUUUCUACAUCUCGAAAGAAGAAAGAAAGAAAGAAAGAAUUAGAGAAAGAGAGAAAGAUAGAAAGAAUGGAGAAUUUAGAGAAGAAGAAGAUCAACUCUGUAUUAGAUUCAGAAUGAGAAUCUACAAGCAUGAGCCAGCUAUUUAUCCACAGCUGUGGACUUCUCUACAGUUCUAAUAACCCUCUCUACAAUUCUAUAACUGACUCUAACGGUAUCAACAACUUCACAACAGCUUUCAACUGCUUCACAACAGCCCUAGCAACUUCAUAACUACCUAACUCAUUUUCCCUACAAAGAAUUUUCUCUAUUCCUAAACUUUCCUCUACAGUCUGGCUUAGAAUUAGAAAUAUAGACUUGGGGACAUUUCAAAAGCUUACUCAUAGGUGAACUUUUCCUCUUAACUGUGGAUAAUAAACCCAGUACGCAAAUAAAUUGCAUGCCAGCUCCAUAACAAAAAUGCAUAGUUUUGGUUACUCAAAUUUCUGUUUAAUGGAUGAAUAUCUUAUUACUGUAUGAAUAUUAUAUUAGACAGUGGUAGUUACAUGCAUUUUGAGCUCACGAUGUUCAAAACAUCUUUUCUUAUCAUUCAAUAUAAGAAAUGUGCAAGACACUUGUGGGCACACAUGUUUCUGAGUAUGUGCAUAUGAUCUUUUUACUUUCUAUAUUUUCAUAUGUAAACUGUGUUAAAAGGAAAUGUAAACCAUGCUGUCUUCAACCUCUAUGAUCUUUGUUAUCAUUAAUAUUUUUGAAUGAUAAAGUUUCAAAUUGACUCUUUUUAGAUUUUGGAUGAUCUCAUGAUUGUCCUCUCUGUCCAAAGCUGUCUCUCUUUGUUAUUCCUACCUUUUGAGGAAAAAAUCAUUUAUUAACAUUUCGGUUCCUUUUUCCAAGUACUGGGACCGAGGGAAAUUUGGAAAAAUUCUUAAAUUUUUUGGAUGUUAAAAAAGCAGCAGCAAAUAUUUCUGUACAUCACUAAAUGGAAAGGUGGCCAGAGAACUUUCAUACGGUAACAUGUUUACCAGUAAAGCAUCAGUCUUUUGGUUUCUUGCUGAAUCUGUCGAUGUAUACGUUUGUAUUAGAAGUAUGAUGCGCAAUUUGCUAAUAAACCAAUAAAUCCUGUUUCAAAAUUUGUUGGUGUAGGAUGGCAGCUACCCAGGUACAGGUAAAAUUCAUGAGGUAGGUCAUGGAGAUGGGGAGGGGACAACACUAAAUCUACCUUUGCCAGGAGGAUCAGGUGACAUUGCCAUGAGGACUGUGUUUGAUGAAGUCAUUGUGCCAUGUGCUCAAAAGUUCAAGCCAGAUAUAAUUCUCGUUUCUGCUGGGUGAGUGGCUGCCCUGUCCUAUGAGUUUCAACAUAUGCUUGAAUAAAUUAGCUUUGUUAUGCCUUUCCUUGUUCUGCCCACGAUUUUCCAGUAUUUUAAAAAAAUGAUGCAACAUAGAGCAUGCAUUUAGUGAUUGGCAAAAUAUUUUGCUGCUUCUUUCUCUCUUAUCGUCCUAGAUUAAAUCAUAACAGUGAUUGAUUGCAAGUUAAAUUUUGUGGCACAAUGGCACAUGCAUAUGCUUAUAUAUACACAUGCAUCAUUUCUUAUUUAUCUAUCAAAUUCUAAACAGCAAAUCUUUUUAAAUGGAAAAUUUUAAUGUUCUAGAAAGAGAUCUGCAAUUGUUGUCAUCUUGUAACUAAAAUCAACAGCCGAAAAUAUGCAUCUUAAGUGACUAAAUUUUGUUCAGGUAUGAUGGUCAUGUUCUGGAUCCGCUGGCCAGUCUGCAAUUUACAACAGGAACAUACUACAUGCUGGCCUCAGAUAUUACACAACUCGCCAAAGAUCUAUGUGGGGGCCGUUGUGUAUUUUUCUUGGAGGGAGGAUACAACCUUGAUUCUCUUUCAUAUUCAGUGGCAGACUCUUUUCGCGCUUUCCUUGGGGAGAAAAGCUUGGCAUCUGAGUUUGAUAACCCUGCAUUCCUCUAUGAAGAGCCAUCAACAAGAGUGAAGCAAGCAAUUCAGAGAGUUAAACACAUACACUGCCUAUGAAUAAUCUAAACAUAUAUACAAUAUGUCUUACAAGGUUCCAAGAUCUACUUGUGAAUGAACUUCUGGAUGAGCUACGCUAGCAGGAGAUCUUCGAUUAAUAAAAAACUCCAGCGACAAGCUGCCCAUCAGACUUUGAACAAUAAGACAAGUUAUUGUAUAGUAUCUUUAAGAAUGUAUAGGAUUGCCAUUGUAUUUAUACACUAAUGACAGGUUCGAUUACAAGCAUUGGUUGGUAAAGUUGUAGGAUACAUUUUCAACUUUUGCAGUUUGAAUAAGAUGUGCCAAGCUUCUUUAUUU
rnacentral:misc_RNA from 1 species